rnacentral:rRNA from 1 species
AGAGUUUGAUCCUGGCUCAGAUUGAACGCUGGCGGCAUGCUUUACACAUGCAAGUCGAACGGUAACGCGGGGCAACCCUGGCGACAAGUGGCGAACGGGUGAGUAAUACAUCGGAACGUGCCCAGUAGUGGGGGAUAGCUCGGCGAAAGCCGGAUUAAUACCGCAUACGACCUACGGGUGAAAGCGGGGGAUCGCAAGACCUCGCGCUAUUGGAGCGGCCGAUGGCAGAUUAGCUUGUUGGUGAGGUAAGAGCUCACCAAGGCGACGAUCUGUAGCUGGUCUGAGAGGACGACCAGCCACACUGGGACUGAGACACGGCCCAGACUCCUACGGGAGGCAGCAGUGGGGAAUUUUGGACAAUGGGCGCAAGCCUGAUCCAGCAAUGCCGCGUGUGUGAUGAAGGCCUUCGGGUUGUAAAAGCACUUUUUAGUGGGAACGAAACGGUCCGGGCCAAUACCCUGGACUACUGACGGUACCCGCAGAAUAAGCACCGGCUAACUCGUGCCAGCAGCCGCGGUAAUACGUAGGGUGCAAGCGUUAAUCGGAAUUACUGGGCGUAAAGCGUGCGCAGGCGGUUUUGUAAGACCGAUGUGAAAUCCCCGGGCUUAACCUGGGAACUGCAUUGGUGACUGCAAGGCUUGAGUGUGUCAGAGGGAGGUGGAAUUCCGCGUGUAGCAGUGAAAUGCGUAGAUAUGCGGAGGAACACCGAUGGCGAAGGCAGCCUCCUGGGAUAACACUGACGCUCAUGCACGAAAGCGUGGGGAGCAAACAGGAUUAGAUACCCUAGUAGUCC